rnacentral:lncRNA from 1 species
CUUAAAAGGACAGACUUUUUUUCGCCAUUGUUUUCUUUCUCUCCUUUUUGUUUCUUUUGUCGAGGCUGGUUUCGCAUGGAAGUGGGCGCCGCCUAGUCGUCCUUUUUCCUCUUGGGAUCAUGGGGGGUAUCUGUGUCGCUCCUGGCGAGCGCGUCUCGCACCGACUCCAUCACGGCGCCGCCCAGCCUGCGUCGGCCCGGCAACAGAAAAAAAACCGAGGAAGAGGAAGAACAAACACGGCCCACGCAAAAGAUAUGGAGC